rnacentral:rRNA from 1 species
UACAGAGGUGCCGAGCGUUUAGGCGGAAUCACUGGGCUUAAAGCGUGUGUAGGCGGACUUCUAAGUACCUUGUGAAAUCCCACGGCUCAACCGUGGAACUGCUGGGUAUACUGGGCGUCUUGAGCCACCUAGGGGCCAGCGGAACAAAUGGUGGAGCGGUGAAAUGCGUAGAUAUCAUUUGGAACGCCAACGGUGAAAACAGCUGGCUGGGGGUGUGCUGACGCUGGAGACACGAAAGCCAGGGGAGCGAACGGG